UACGUAGGGGGCUAGCGUUGUCCGGAUUUAUUGGGCGUAAAGAGCGUGUAGGCGGCCAGAUAGGUCUGCUGUGAAAACUCGAGGCUCAACCUCGAGAUGUCGGCGGAAACCAUUUGGCUAGAGUCCGGAAGAGGAAAGUGGAAUUCCUGGUGUAGCGGUGAAAUGCGCAGAUAUCAGGAAGAACACCCGUGGCGAAGGCGGCUUUCUGGGACGGUACUGACGCUGAGACACGAAAGCGUGGGGAGCAAACAGG
rnacentral:rRNA from 1 species